AUCCAGCUCACGAGACCCAAAUAGGACGAAACGCGCGUCCUGGAU
rnacentral:hammerhead_ribozyme from 1 species